rnacentral:lncRNA from 1 species
UAGAACAGAUCCCUUCAGAGAUAAAAAACCUAACGAGAUACUUUAUGCAAUAUGCAUGUUAAUACAGAUACACUUCGGACCAUAUAGGCUUCAUUCCACUUUUCUCUUUUUCUUUUCUUUUAUACUUUUAUUUUUACCAUUUACAUAUUAUAUUUAUUACAUGCAAUUCAUCAAAUGUCUGCAAUUUACAUAGAAUGCUUGAAAAUAAGAAUAAUUCGACUGAUCUGAAUACAGUCAUGCAAAACAAGCCAAAUUACAAUCAUAUUAAAUUAGUUUAUCUAAAAAUACUCCUUAAGAAGUGGAAAAAAAUAAUAGAUUCCUUACCAAAACCUCCAUGUUUUAUCCU